GACGGAGGGUGCAAGCGUUGUUCGGAAUUACUGGGCGUAAAGGGCGCGUAGGCGGUCUGUUUAAGUUCGGUGUGAAAGCCCCCGGCUCACCCUGGGGAACUGCGCCGGAAACCGACAGACUCGAGUACCGGAGAGGAGGGUGGAAUUCCUGGUGUAGCGGUGAAAUGCGUAGAUAUCAGGAGGAACACCGGUGGCGAAGGCGGCCCUCUGG
rnacentral:rRNA from 1 species